AUACACUACAUCCGAUAUACUACACUCAAAACGCCACUCACAACUCUCUCUCCCAAAAAGCCUUCCUCGUUACCGGAGAUUACGAGGAGAAGACGUUACCACCAUCGGCGGCACCGGCGGUGUCAACGUUGGAAAAUCUCCUUAAGGCUAAUGCUCCUCUUGAUAAUCCACUAGGGAUUCUCAAAAUGGUGUUCGAGUUCAUUGGAAGAGAGUCAAAUCUGUUCAUAUGGUGAAAGAUAAGUUGAAAACUAAUCGAAGAGCCCUCGUCUUUGUUGUUCACCUUAUUUAUUUUUUCCUUCCUUUAAGUUGUGAGUAUUUUCUGCUGAAGCUUUGAAUCUAUCUUAGAAAUAUGUUAAGGUAUUUUUGUACUAUAAUUCACCCCCUUUUUGCAAUCGAUUUUAUGACGAAAACAUAAAAUUGCAUCCUAAUUUCAUCCUAUUUUCUCUUGUAAAAAUCGCACGAUUUUCGCCUUUGAAGCAGAAUAGUAGCAGGUUUCGGGGUCUUCUUGCCAAGGUAGAAUAUCCCCUAAGUAUAAAAUUUCCUUUUUUAUUGCUGAAUGUGUUAAGAAUAAUUGAGUUCUUAUUGUGUUAAUUAGCAUGAUUGAUGGUUAUCUUGUUGAUUCCGAAGCACCCUUCAAUCUUCGGUAAUUUCUGGAAUAUGGGAUUGUUGUUAUGGUUGAUGUUAAAUUGCUUAACUGUGAUUUCUAUUUCUAAGAAAAUUUUGUGUGAUUACCUUUUUCUAUUAAUUCUUGUCUUAGCUCGAGGAGAUUCCAAUCUGUUGGAUCUAUAUAGAGUCUUUGAUCUAAUAAUAGUAUGAUGAGCUAAAUGUAGAGUAUCAAAAUAUUGGGGAUAUCAAAAUAAAUAAUUUAACAAAAAGAGAAAAUUAAAAGAAAUGUUGUCUUUGUUAAUCAAAAUUGUUGUCUUUGUUACACGUACGUAGUGCUAUGUUUUGACUGAUUACUAUAUAAUUUCAAGAUUCGUAUGUAGCUAAUUCACAUUCACCAUUGACUUAAUUUUUUUUACUGUUGUUAGCUUUCUGAAUACUAAUGUGAUUUUUCUUUUUUACAAAUAUUUAUAUGAUUGCUUUGGUCUUUUGUGACUGAAUUAUUGGAAAGAGUUCUGCUUAUAUGUGGAAUAAGCUUUCAGCUUCUGUCUUUGAGUAAUUUUAUGUCAAAUUCUUUGUUGUACUCAUCUGCUUUCAAUUAUAUCUUCUUUCUCUUUUUGGAUUCUUGAUCCCCUUUUCGUCUUUUUCAAUAUUUUCCCCUUUUUUGGAUAUUCUUAUGUUGGACCUUUUCUUUGUGAACUAUUUUGGAGUUUGGUCUGAUUUUUAAUUUACUGCAUUAGUUGAUUGCAAAACACUUUCUUGAAAUAAUUUCAGGUAUAUCUUUCUUAAUUUAGUAGACAUUGAAGUAUGGACUAAUGCAUCAGUCCAAAAACCAUUAAAAUGACUAGCUUCAAAUGGAGAAUAGAUCGAUUGAGUUCCGUAGUCUCACUUUAAGGAUCUUCUUGAAUACUAGAACUCCUAUACUGCCAAGAUAGAGAACUUUGUUGCACAGGCUACACAUCUCCUAUGAACAAGUCAGCAAUAGAAAGGAACUAAACGAUCAUAGAGAGGAACAUCACAGGGACCUGGUGCCCCGGUCUCUUAGGGUUCUCCGGUACAAAGAAGUCAGUGACUGUACGCAAUCAAUAUAAAGAGGAACACAACAGGGACCUGCUCCCUGUAGGUUCUCUGACAAAAGUACAGGUCAAGUACACAUUUGGAAUGUGAAAGAAGAAAGUGACCAUCUGGUAACUAUUACAGAAGCGGAACACAAUGAGGACCUGGUCUGUUAGUGUGUUAUGACAGAAGUACAAAGUCCACUAUCCAGCUGGAACGCAACUGCCCAGUAGUGGCUGUGCAGACAGUACAACAGUCACUUCUCUCUGGGCAAAAGUACACCACGAGUUGACAUCACUACCUAUUGAGAUAUCUUUUGUGAUAAAACAACCUGGUGCAAGACACACCAGGAUUCGUGCAUUCAGUGAUAUUCUCUCAAGAAGAAGAAGCAUUCAUCCAGCAUUGAAGUCACUGGUGUGUCAAGAACAAGAAGACAACUCCACUAAGGAUCGGUUUCUAAACGAGUAUUAUGUAUAUCUAUAGUUGAGUUGUAACCUUGUUAAUUGCUCUACAUUGUAAUUCCUAGUUUGCUUUCUUAGAAGUGUUGUUUUAGGAACAAAUCAAAUUCGUAAACUUUAGAGUUUAUGUGUGACAAGGAAUAGUCGUUAAUUAAA